CUCUGAUUUUCCUUGCCUUAGACUGAAAUCUUUCUUCUUUACCCUCUGAUUUUCCUUGCCUUGACUGAAAUCUUUCUUCUUUGACCAAGGUUGGAAUUAAAGUUUUCUCAAAAUGGUGCACCUCCUACUGCUACGGGGCGAUUUGAGAAGAUUUGAAGAGCAAAAAUGGAAAUCGUCUACACCAAAAUUGAGAAAAGGCAGAGGGAGAAAGUAGCUUAUUCAAAAUAGGGCACACAAUUCUCUAAUGAAGAAGAUUUUGAGUUCAAACUUGCCUCAAAAUGGAAGGUAAUGACAAAGCUAUG
rnacentral:lncRNA from 1 species